rnacentral:lncRNA from 1 species
ACCUUUAAGGCAUGAAAUAAAAUAUCUGAAUGGAACCCUCAAUUUAUGGGUCUCCACUUCCAAAAAAUAAUUUAUAUUUUGUUUUUUGAAACAUAAAAAUCAGUUGUAUAUUUACAGUUUUAAAACAUUAAAUGUAGAAUGUUAAGUAGAAAGAACAAAAAACAAUGUCUGUUUGUAGAUAUAUUAGUAAAAUAUUAGAUGGAUUUCAUAUUAUUAUGAAUUAUUUAUGAAAAUUUUUAAUAAUUAAAUUAAGAUAAAUAACUGUUAUUGCUACAAUUUUAUUAUACUUUAAAAGCGCAUAAAUUCUGUUUAAGUGUUUUAAUUCGAACCUUUUAAGAUUUAUUUGUUAAAUAUUUAAAUUCAGAUUUUUAUUAAAAUUCACAAAAUAGAUCAUUUUUGUAAAUUUUUUUUUUUUUCAAACAUGGUCCCGAAAAUUUCAGGUCUGACUCUGUUUAGGAAACUAGAAUAAUGAUCAGUGUGGAGAAGUAUAUUGCACAAUUAUGUUAACAAAUAAUUUGUGCAUAAUUAUGGAAAUAAUAUAUCACGUUAAUUAAGCCUUUUAGCCUUAUAGAGAGUAUGUUUAGAUAGAUAAAAU